rnacentral:rRNA from 1 species
UGGGGAAUAUUGGGCAAUGGACGCAAGUCUGACCCAGCAACGCCGCGUGAAGGAAGAAGGCUUUCGGGUUGUAAACUUCUUUGACAGGGGAAGAGUAGAAGACGGUACUCUGAAAACAAGCCACGGCUAACUACGUGCCAGCAGCCGCGGUAAUACGUAGGUGGCAAGCGUUGUCCGGAUUUACUGGGUGUAAAGGGCGUGCAGCCGGGAAUGCAAGUCAGAUGUGAAAUCCAUGGGCUUAACCCAUGAACUGCAUUUGAAACUGUAUUUCUUGAGUACUGGAGAGGCAAUCGGAAUUCCUAGUGUAGCGGUGAAAUGCGUAGAUAUUAGGAGGAACACCAGUGGCGAAGGCGGAUUGCUGGACAGCAAACUGACGGUGAGGCGCGAAAGUGUGGGGAGC